AAAGAGGUAGUAUAGUUUUUUACUGGAAGAAGCUAAAUUACAUCAUGGACGCAUUCAAAAGCGGAAAUCAUGGCUUGGACGCUCCCUGUACACUCCACACUGCGAUCCACUCCUCCGCCGGUCAUCUCCACAAUCACCUCUUGAACAGGUUUGUCGUAGUCUUUUGGAUUCACAAAUUCUGUAAUCCCAAACCUCUUAGCUGGUGGCAGGCAAAGAAAUAUGAUCAGUAUAUUAAUAUUUUUAGUGAGGAACAACGACAAAUCAUAUAAUGAUAUAAAUGAUGCUAUGAUAGGUACCUUCUUCAAAUCUUCUGGGGUUCACAUCAACAGCGAUGAUCCGAGAAGCC
rnacentral:lncRNA from 1 species